CAUGCAAGUCGAACGCGUCUUGGGGGGCAACUCCUGAGAUGAGUGGCGAACGGGUGAGUAACACGUGAGUAAUCUACCCUCGAGUGAGGAAUAACCCCGCGAAAGCGGAGCUAAUACCGCAUAAUACUCUGGAGCGUAAGCUCUCAGAGUCAAAGCUUUCCGAGCAAUCGGGCAGCGCUUGAGGAUGAGCUUGCGGCCUAUUAGCUAGUUGGUAGGGUAACGGCCUACCAAGGUAAUGAUGGGUAGCCGGCCUGAGAGGGUGUACGGCCACACUGGGACUGGGACACGGCCCAGACUCCUACGGGAGGCAGCAGUGAGGAAUUUUGCGCAAUGGGCGAAAGCCUGACGCAGCGACGCCGCGUGGAGGAUGAAGGCCUUCGGGUUGUAAACUCCUGUCAGAGGAGAAGAAAUCCCGAGUAAUCGGGUUUGACGG
rnacentral:rRNA from 1 species